rnacentral:rRNA from 1 species
AUACGGAGGGUGCAAGCGUUGUUCGGAAUCAUUGGGCGUAAAGGGCGCGCAGGCGGUUUGGUAAGUCAGAUGUGAAAGCCCACGGCUCAACCGUGGAAGUGCAUUUGAAACUGUCAGACUUGAGUACUAGAGGGGAAAGUGGAAUUCCCGGUGUAGAGGUGAAAUUCGUAGAUAUCGGGAGGAAUACCGGUGGCGAAGGCGACUUUCUGGCUAGAUACUGACGCUGAGGCGCGAAAGCGUGGGGAGCAAACAGGAUUAGAAACCCGUGUAGUCC